rnacentral:rRNA from 1 species
CCUACGGGCGGCUGCAGUGGGGAAUCUUGCACAAUGGGCGCAAGCCUGAUGCAGCCAUGCCGCGUGUGUGAAGAAGGCCUUAGGGUUGUAAAGCACUUUCAGCGAGGAGGAACACAACAUACUUAAUACGUGUGGUGAUUGACGUUACUUGCAGAAGAAGCACCGGCUAACUCCGUGCCAGCAGCCGCGGUAAUACGGUGGGUGCAAGCGUUAAUCGGAAUUACUGGGCGUAAAGCGCACGCAGGCGGUUUGUUAAGUCAGAUGUGAAAUCCCCGGGCUUAACGGGGGAACUGCAUUUGAAACUGGCAGGCUAGAGUCUUGUAGAGGGAAGUAGAAUUCCAGGUGUAGCGGUGAAAUGCGUAGAGAUCUGGAGGAAUACCGGUGGCGAAGGCGGCCCCCUGGACAAAGACUGACGCUCAGGUGCGAAAGCGUGGGGAGCAAACAGGAUUAGAUACCCGGGUAGUC